CCUACGGGUGGCUGCAGUGGGGAAUAUUGGACAAUGGGCGAAAGCCUGAUCCAGCCAUGCCGCGUGUGUGAAGAAGGCCUUCGGGUUGUAAAGCACUUUCAGUGGGGAAGAAAGCCUUGGGGCUAAUACCCUCGAGGAAGGACAUCACCCACAGAAGAAGCACCGGCUAACUCCGUGCCAACAGCCGCGGUAAUACGGAGGGUGCGAGCGUUAAUCGGAAUUACUGGGCGUAAAGCGCGCGUAGGCGGUCUGAUAAGCCGGUUGUGAAAGCCCCGGGCUCAACCUGGGAACGGCAUCCGGAACUGUCAGGCUAGAGUGCAGGAGAGGAAGGUAGAAUUCCCGGUGUAGCAGUGAAAUGCGUAGAGAUCGGGAGGAAUACCAGUGGCGAAGGCGGCCUUCUGGACUGACACUGACGCUGAGGUGCGAAAGCGUGGGUAGCAAACAGGAUUAGAUACCCCGGUAGUC
rnacentral:rRNA from 1 species